UUUUAAUUUAUUUGAUAUGUAAACAAUUUAAAACCGUAAAGCUGAAACCGUAUACCUAAUGUAAUUAACAGGAAAAUGUAUAUCAGUACUCAAUAACUUGUACAUACAUAGCCUACAAUGUAAAAAUUCUCCUGCUGAGGGGGGAGAAUGUAACGAGCCGUUACCAAACCAUCCACCGCACCUACCCACAUUCCGAAGCCGCAAGAGCGCCCGCAAGACGAGGUGGGGCACCACACAGACGACUCCGGAGAAUACAAGGGGCGCGGGGCGACCCGCCUAUAAAUAGCCGUCAGACUGCCGCCCGGGCACCAUUCGUCACCUCCUGCUCCGACGAGUGACCAGUCCGCUCCCGAGAUCCUUCCCCGCACCUAUAUCUAUCUUAAGUAUCUAUUCACGCAUACUAAGCUCACAACACCGUCCUCCCUACGCUGUGGGUCGCCUACUAGCGGAUCGAGGUUCCCCGGAAUACACGGACGCCUGGGUCGCCUAGUUGAAAGCGGCCGUGUACCGAACUAUACAAUCGCUGAACACACACCGGCCCUCAGCCACACUUUCUUAUCAACACAAGUACACUCCACAAAUCCUGGAACAAAUCGACACGCACCACCAGUAUUCGCCCGACCUCCUGUACCCUAUAUUCCUUCCCCUUAUUAGGAUAUACAGAAACGUCCGCGUAGGCCCCUUCAGGGCCCGAUCAAUUUAAAUAUCGAUAACUGUGA